UGGGGAAUCUUGCGCAAUGGGCGAAAGCCUGACGCAGCGACGCCGCGUGAGUGAUGAAGGCCUUCGGGUUGUAAAGCUCUGUGGGGAGAGAAGAAUAAGUGCGGGCUAAUACCCCGCAUGAUGACGGUAUCUCCUUAGCAAGCACCGGCUAACUCUGUGCCAGCAGCCGCGGUAAGACAGAGGGUGCAAACGUUGUUCGGAAUUACUGGGCGUAAAGCGAGUGUAGGCGGUUUGGUAAGUCGGAUGUGAAAGCCCCGGGCUCAACCCGGGAAGUGCAUUCGAUACUGCCAAGCUAGAGUAUCGGAGAGGUUGGUGGAAUUCUCGGUGUAGAGGUGAAAUUCGUAGAUAUCGGAAGGAACAUCGGUGGCGAAGGCGUCUACCUGGCCUAAUACUGACACUGAGGCACGAAAGCGUGGGGAGCAAACAGGAUUAGAUACCCCUAGUAGUCCCUGAGCGGGCUGGCAAGGCGCAU
rnacentral:rRNA from 1 species